rnacentral:rRNA from 1 species
UACGUAGGGCGCAAGCGUUAUCCGGAAUCAUUGGGCGUAAAGCGCGCGUAGGCGGUUCGGUAAGUCUGUCGUGAAAUCCUGAGGCUCAACCUCGGGCGUGCGAUGGAUACUGCCGGGCUAGAGGGUGGUAGAGGCGAGUGGAAUUCCCGGUGUAGCGGUGAAAUGCGCAGAUAUCGGGAGGAACACCUGUGGCGAAGGCGGCCCCCUGGUUGGAUACUGACGCUGAUACGCGAAAGCGUGGGGAGCAAACAGG